AGUUAAAGCUAACAGUAUUAUGACAUUUACAGCUAAAAUGUCAGGUGGAACUAAAAUGUAUUUUUUUUAAAAAAAUCUUUAUUUCUUAAUUUAUUAUGAAGAAAAUUAAAAAAAAAAACUGUUUCAAAUAUGAAUAGUUCAUGAGAAAUUACAGCCCAGUUUCUACUGAACAAAAUGAUAUAUAAUAAGUGCAGGUGCACUUAAUAUGAAAGAGAGGAAUUACGGUUGAACAGACAUAUAGCGCAAAUUCCAGUUUUUGUUUACAUUGUGUUUUGAUCAACACGUGUACUAUUGACUCCGUCCUGAAGGGGUUAAAAAAAAUUGUCUACUAAUGCAUGUUCAUUUAACCCAUUAACACCAUUAUGGCAUGUGGCAUAGCACACACAAAUGUUUUAGCCCUCUCUCCGGUUUACCUCCUUUCCCUAAUUGCAGAUCGCCCUCUGGGACCUGCCUGGCAACUCAGGCAGUCCACUUGCAUCCAAUGGCAGGGAUCUGCAGAGAGCUCUCUUAUCAAGCUGGCUUUUUUUUUUUAUUCAAUGCUUUCCUAUGGGAAAUUGAGUGACGCAGGAGGUCCUCACACAGCGUGAGGUUGUCCAGCGACACUCUCUAGCACAGAAAACCUGUGCUAUAGACACGGAAGAGCCCUCCAGUGGCUGUCUAGUAGACAGCCACUAGAGGAGAAGUUAACCCUGCAAGGUAAUUAUUGCAGUUUAUAAAAAACUGCAAUAAUUACACUUGUAGAGUUUAGGGUAGUGGGAGUUGGCACCCAGACCACUCCAAUGGGCAGAAGUGGUCUGGGUGCCUACAGUGUCCCUUUAAGGACCAGGGCUCUUUUUACAUUUCUGCAGUGUUUGUGUUUAGCUGUAAUUUUCCUCUUACACAUGUACUGUACCCACACAUAUUAUAUACUGUUUUUCUCGCCAUUAAAUGGUCUCUUUAAAGAGACCAUUAUUUUCAUAAUAUCCUAUCAUUUACUAUAAAUAUUUUAAUAAAAUAUGAUGAAAAUAUAAAAAAAGUAACUAAUUUUGACUACCAAAAUUUGUUACACAUCUACAACCGCCAAAACACCCGUUUCUAAAUUUUAUCCUGAGUUUAGAAAUACCCAAUGUUAAAAUGUUCUUAGCUUUUUUUUGCAAGUUGUAGGGCAAUAAGUACAAGUAGCACUUUGCUAUUUCCAAACCAUUUUUUUUCUUAAAAAUUAACGACCGUUACAAUGUAACACUGAUAUCUGUCAGAAUUCCUUAAUAACCCUUCACAUGUAUAUAUAUUAAAAAAAAAAAAAAAGACAACCUAAGGUAUAUAACUUGUGGUAUUUGGCUCUUUUCAUGCAACAAUUUUACCACCAAUCUAUGCCAAAUUAGAAAAAAAAAAAAAAUUGGUGAUUUUUUUGACACACAUGGCAAUUUAAGAAUGCAUGUACUGAGAACUUUAAGGGUUACUGCCAAAGAACACCCUAAUAUGUGUUCAGCAACGUCUCCUGAGUACAGUGAUACCACCCAUGUAUAAGUGUGUCGGGUUCUCUGGGGGCUAAAAGACCUUAUUUAGAGGGCGUGCAAACUUGUAAUUUUCACAGCUGAUCAUCAUGUACCCAUGUCCUAUUUGGGAAAUUUUUUAAGCCGGCCAAUGUAAUUUACCCCCUUCAAACCAUAUAUUUUUGAAAUGUAGACACCCUAGGGUAUUUCAAAUGGUGGUAUUUUAACACUUUCCAUGCACUAAUUCUAUCACCAGUCAAACCUUUGGGUAGUCAUUUUUUUGUUAUUUUUCUCUCACAUUGUAUUUUAGACAUGGAUCCUCAGUUCCUGUUAUGUGUUACUGACAAAGAACACCCCAAUAUGUGUUUCGCCACAUCUCCUGAGUAUCUCUCCUACCAUCAAUGGGCAAAAUUAGAGCUAGAAUCGAGAGAUUAGAGUCUUGCCACGUGGCAACGAACCAGACUUUGUCAGAUGCUACAUCUCUAGUGGCUAUUUUACAGGGUAAUUUAGCAGUCCCCAUAUCCCCAAUUGACACUCUCAUGAUAACACGAUCCCAUAUGGUACCUCUUUAGAUCCACAAAGAUAUUCUGGAAGGUAAGGACGUGAAUUCCUGAAAUAUGUACUGGCAUUUGGGAUCUAUAGAGGUGUGGUGUGUACUAAUUUGCCACAUAGGAGAGAAGAAUUUGACACUUAUAUGCAUAAGCUGGUGGACCGGGCACAAAUACGGCGGAUACGCCUUUUAUGAUCAUCGUAGGUCAUUCUCGGCCAAAGCAGCGGCAACUUUGGCCCAGUUAAAAAAAACAAACAAACAAAAAAAGAGUUUAAUGUGUAAACUGGACACAACGUUGUUCUGUAGGCAUUUCGCCAGACUGAGGACAUCAGCCUGUGCUUUGUGUUCUUCAACCUCCCACGCAACAAGUCUUUGUCCUAGUGACGCCUCUGUUUCGGGCCAACAACCCCCUGGUUUACCAUCCAGGUCUGAGAAAGUCAUAAAAGAUAAGCUUGGCAGACUAAUUUUGUUCCUUUGGAAAUCUCAAAUAUGUUACAAUUUUAAUGCGGGUGCUUGUAGGUUAUUACAUAUCUUCUAUGUUGUGAUAAUGUUGGUGUUUGUUGAGUGAAUACAUUUUGGCACACUUCCUUUACCCCACUUUAUUUACAGGCCUACCAAUAAGUCCGUACUCCUGAGUACAGAAAAUGAAACAAUAUUUCAAACCAUCAUAACUCCUGAGUGCCUAAUCUGUUGAAAUACCGCUCAGAUCAGUUUGGUAGAAUAGGAACGUCAUUCGAGGGAACUUUAGACCGGUCAACCUUGAGGUGAAGCCCAAAAACAGUUCCAUGUGGUUGUAUGCUUUGACCGGUCUUCUUUCAGGAGUUUUUAGUGUUAAACUAACGAAUGCAAAUGUUAAUGAAAUAGGUAGUCUUGUGCCUUGUGUUCAUUCAUUCCAUUCAGUUGAAUGCCGCUCUAUAUAGACGAAAGGAAAUGAACGUACGAACAGGAUGGAAGUUCAGCCGUGUUCGCAUGGUCGAGAGUCCAAUUAUAGUUCCACGCACUCGACGACCAAACACCGAUGUAUGUUCGUGAGCAAAGAUGGCCGCCAUCACGUGUUCGGUCAUAUGAACGGCGGCCACCCAUUUCGAACCUUGCGGUUUUCUGGUGUGAAGAUAGUCAUUCCCCCCCCCGCUGACCCAGAUCGCCGACCCAGGUAAGUCCAGGGCUCCUUUUUGUCGGAAGUACCUAGUACGUCCACGGUCAUUAAAGGACCACUACAGGCACCCAGACCACUUCAGCUCAAUGAAGUGAUCUGGGUGCAGCUGUAAACAUAGCAGUUUCUCUGAAACUGCUAUGUUUACAUAUGGGUUAAUCCAGCCUCUAGUGGCUGUUUCAUUGACAGCCGCUAGAGGCGCCCCUGCACUUCUCACUGUGAUUUUCACAGUGAGAAGACGUCAGCGUCCAUAGGGAAGCAUUGAGAAUGCUUUCCUAUGGACUGAAUGCGCUCGCAGCUCUUGCCGCGCAUGCGCAUUCAGCCAAUAACGUUGGAAGGAGGAGGAGAGUCCCCAUCGCUGAGGGAGAUAUGUAUUUAUAACGUCAUUCUAAAAGUAUUUUGAUUUAACUAUAUAUGUAUUUUAAAAAUACAGUUAGAACAUAUUUAAACCGGUGUAUAAUUUUAUUUUUUUUAAAUUAAAUUUUAUAAACAAAUUUAUUUUAUAUAUAAUUAUAUAAAUUAAUAUUAAAAUACACGCUUAAUGAUGUGUGUGUGUGUGUGUGUAUAUAAAAGUACUUGUAUAAUAUUAAUAUAUAUAUAUAUAUAUAUAUAUGAUCUAAGUACUUUUAAUAUAAUUUUAAAACUGUUUAUUAACUUUAAUAAACUUUAACAAAGUUUUUACAGGCAUGAGGAGGACAGCCUGAGAGCUCAGGCACUCCCCCUGCAGGCACUGCACAAGCCGGCUAUUCCUACCAUGUGAUCCCGAGGACCCCGCAAUAACAUGGCCCGGAGGGGCCAGAUCAGCCGCAGGGGGACUACCUGGGAUUCCAGGUAAGUCCACACGUUGUUAACGACCAUUUUUUGUCGGACAUACCUGGUACAUCAGAGGUCGGGAUGGGGUUAAAAACAAUAUAUUCCAUCGACGCAGUCACAAUAUAGCGUAAAAUUUUAUAAAUAAUGUGAAUCCACAGCUGGCUAUACAUGAGCUGUUCGGUUUUAUCAAGGGAAGGAUAGCCAUCUUGACCCACCAGAGUGCCCUGAUUCUGUGGGCACAAAUGGCGAGAUUGUGUGGUAUCUGAUCCUUUCCUUGUUAAAUAAUGUUUUAAAACUAUUAUACCAGUAUUAAUUUAUUUAAAAUGUAUUGUUUCAAAAUCCUAGCAUGUGUUGCAGAGGUUUCCACCACACCACACUCGGGACCACUCUGGGGUAGGAGUAAAGUACGAUUAAAAUGCUAAAUCUUGACUACCUAGUUCUGUAAUGUUGUUCGCCCUCUAUACUUCCUUUCUGUAUAUCAAAACAAUAGCAACAAACUAUUCAACAUACAUAAUUCUUUUGAACUUUCCCACGUUGUGUAAAAUGACACAGAGUACUGUGAUUGCAUGGCUUGAAAUCCAUCCAAUCACAAUGCUCUGUGUAAUUUUACACAGCGUGGGAAAGUUCUUUGGAAUUUUCCCACGCUGUGUAAAAUGACAAAGAGCACUCUGAUUGGCUUUAUAAGCCUUCCCCCGCCCCGCAGCGCUCAGUCUGCGCGGAGCCAUCCAUGAGAAGAGGGAUUUUUUUUUGCGCUCUGGUUUUUUCUUUUUCGUCUUUUUUUUUUUUGUGCUCGGGUUUUUUAUUUUAUUUUAAGUUCGACGGGUAUGAUGGUUUUUUUAUUUGGCCUUUUUUGGGGCUGAAAAAUGAAGAUUUUAGAAAAAAGAAGACGUCGAAUGGUAAGUUUAAUUUUACUUUACAGGUUAGUAAUUUUAUUCCCCCCCUCAAUAUUUUUUAGGGUGAGGGGGUAGGUAGGGGACUUUUUAUUUGGGGGGGUUGGGUGACUAGGGGCUUGGGGACCCCUAGUCACUUUUGAUGGGGGGGGAGGGGAAUUUGACUUAGGGCCCCCACCCGCCGUCCAGGGGACGGGGCGGGGGGAGGACAGUAGGUUCCCCCACCUCAUUAUCUUUCUGGCCCCCACCUGCCGCCCAGGGGUGGGGGUCAGGGGAGGAGGGAUGGGGCCGAGGGUGGGAUGGAAGACAGUAGGUACCCCCCCUCAUUAUCAUUAUGGCCCCCACCUGCCGCCCAGGGGUGGGGGCGAGGACAGUAGGUUCCCCCCCCCUCAUUAUCAUUAUGGCCCCCACCCACCGCCCAUGGGUAGGGGUGAGGAGGACAGUUGGUCCCCCCCCCAUUAUCAUUAUGGCCCCACACACCGCGCAGGGGUGGGGGCCAGGGGGGGGGACAAUAGGUCUCCCCCCUUAUUUUACAAUAGGUUUUUAUUUUUUUAUUUUUUACAGUGAGCAGCCACAGGCUGCUCACUGUUUAUUAGACAUGCCCCUACUCACGGUAUAGCGAGUAAGGGCAUCAUUUACUAAUACUAAGUAAUUUUUACUUAGUAUUAGUAAAUGUGGCUGAAAGACCAAUUUAGGUCUUUCAGCAUUUUAGUAGAUAACUCCCUGAUACCGUGGGAAUUAGGGAGUUAUCUACUAAGCGGCUGCAAGAUGCAGCCACAGCACGAAUAGGAUCGGAGUUUCAUUCAUUCGAAUGAAAUUCCGAUAAGAACAAAGUGCCGAAUUGAGUUCUAAAACAAACGAACAUACUGUUCUCAUUCAAUUAGAACGCAAUUCGUCAGUUUCGUCUAAAAUGACAGGAAGCAUCGUGGGAACACAGAGGAAAGGUAAGAAUUAUGGGAAGAUUGUUCUGACCAGCGGAAAUGAAGCACACUUUGCUCCUCCACUGGUCAGAGCUGGUCAAGCGGAGGAAACCUCCAUAAGGCAAAGAGUCCCUACUUUGUCUUAUGAAUUUAAAGAAAACUAAAGAAGACAGGAAGAAAAGAAGAACAGAUCCUGAGAGAGGGGGAGAAGAGGAAGAAAUUGAGGAAAGGUAAGUUCGGCAUGACAGUGCCGCUUUAAUUUGUGCCUUACUCCCCCUCCCCCCUUUUUUUUCCUUCUUACCUUUCAUUUUUUGGGGUUAUUUUCUUUUUUUUUGUUUUGUUUGUUUUGUUUCCUUCUCUUUUAUUUCUACUCCUUUUUUUCCCGUUAAUCCGAUCUUCCUUAUAUUGCCUUCCAAUCGCUCCUUUCCCCCCCCCCUCUUCUUUUCCCCCCUGUAUUAUACAUGAUAUUGAAUUUUGAUUUGGACUUAAUCUAAUAUUUAUGGUUUAUAGAUAAAUAUGAGUUUUCCAUUCACAUUGCUCAGCCUUGCCUGGCUUUAAUAGUAUGAGAAAUCAAUUCUUUUCCACUAUUUGACUUUCAGGGCGUUUCCCUUUAAUUAUCUUCUCCAGUCUAAUUGAAUUAAUAAGCGACUGGUAGUGUUGUUCGUGAUUGUAGCUUGCCAGUUAGUUAUUCAAUCUAUAAGAUGUAAGACACGGUUUUGAAAACCCCCAGAGGUUGAUACUAUAUUCAGUCCUAAUGAAUAUGAUUGGAAUCUAAAGUCUGUUUCUUUAAGGAGGUUGUUUAACUUCCAUUUUUUAUCUUGCACUGUGACCUCCUCUCUAUUUCUCCUUCUUUGACCUUUACGGCAAAAUUAGCAGAUGGACUGCAGAUAAUUUCCCGUACUCUUUGCCCAUUGCAUGUACAACGUAGCUACAACAGACUGUUUAAUAAAAAGUCACUAUAUAGGAAAUCAAACAAAAGAUGACUUGUAGACUCAAGGCACUGGUUUGAGAUCAGCUCGAUUCCCCCUCAGCUCCGGCUAUCUCUGCCACAAAUGCAGCCAAGUUCCCUGGCUUUCAAUGGGUUUAAUCUCCUUGCCACAGUCCUGCCUGUAAAUCUGGAAGGCUCUCUCUUCCAAUCCGUCUGCCUCCACCAUUUUUCGUGAAGCUCGCUCUGUCAUCUGAUCGCCUACUCGUCUGCUUGCAUCAGUCAGUAACGUGGUUCAGUUUGACUCCCUCUCCCGGAUCUCGCGCUCCAGCGUCGUACUAUGUAGUCCUUUUUAAAAUUGACAAUGUGAUUUUGUACACCUAUGCUGCCUUUGAGAGAACAUGGCAUACCAUUUUAACAAGUAUUCUAAAUGUAGUAUUUUGAGUUCACACUUUAUAAUGGCUUGGCUUAACAUGAGUGGAACGCAGGGGUCAAAGUAGUUGGUAAAACAAGGUAAUAAGUCUGUACAGGCAGCUAACAAAGAGUACAAGCUGAGGUCAGAAAUCCAGAAAAACAAACACACUGACCGAGUUCCACACAGAGUGAUUCAGUAGUCCAGCUAAAUAUGGUAGACUCUGAAACAGUCUGUAGUAGAGUGAAGGUAGAGAUAGGCAGUAACAACUGGAGUCCUUUUUGAUACCUUACUUGAAGCAAACAUGAGACUUUUUAGAGGGCGUGGGGGAUUGGGAUUCUAAAUAGCUUAUCAUUCCAAAGAAGGAUGAUUCGGGUACUGGAUAAAUAAAUUAAUCGGACAAAAGUUUUAACUUAAAUUAAUGAAAUUGGUUAUAGCUUACCUAUGGCUGCUUUUUUUUUUUUUAUACAGCACAUUGGAAUUGAAAAUCGUAAUCUGGUUUAAAUAGAUUGAUUGCAAUUUUCUUGUACCGGCUCCUACUUUUUGGUUCACCAGAUAACGCUGUAUACAUUGAUCAGCCAAGUCUACUCUCCCAAUAUACUUACGGUAGUUUACAAUGCACUUAGGAUUUUCCAGCUGCUCAGUUCAAUGUCUCACAGAUAUUGGUACUAUAUGUUCGUUGUGUAAUGUAGAUAGCAUGUAUUCAUCUUUCUUAUUUGUGAACUAAAGGUCCAGAACCUUGUCCUGGCAUAAAGCCUCUACUGCUUCUGUCACUAUAUUGGUACUAUAUAGUGCUUAACAUCUCUCAUCCUUUCAUGUUUGACUUUUGUGUUGCGAGUAACUAGUAGGGUAACCUUGGGGAUGUAAACCAUCAGGUGGUUGUUUGCAAUUAUUUUUGUGCAGUUCCGUGUGUGAUCAGUGUCUCCUCACUAGGGUUCAGGCUGAGUGUCUUCUGGGAUUCCUUCUUUUAUAUGCUAUGUUUGUAUCUAUUUGCCUUAAACGAGCCUAUGUUAUGCUUCCGGCUAUGUCGUUGUCAGGCUUGCUUUCCCAUCUCUCGUCUAGUGAUAGGCGUCUUAUCAUGUGUGUAUCUUCCACAUUCCAGGUGUGGACGUUACUCCUUUUUGUCUUCAGGUGUAAUUUAAUCGCAUAGUUUCCUGUCAGUCUACAUAUGGACAGUGUCUUAAAGUCAACUCUCUAGUCUACGUGUUUAUUCGUGUUUCUCCAAUUCUGUAUAAAUGUGUGUUUUUUCAGUGUGUCAGCAUUAUGUUGCUCCUUGUUUACGCGGGGUGGUUCUCGGCUCCUCCCGGCACCGCCUGCCCCAUUCAGAUUCCAUGUUACUGGAUUUGGCUCCCUUAGUGUGUCGAUGUGGUGAGGUUAGGAUGGGGUGGAGGAAGGAGGUGGGACAGAUGGGAAUAGGUUGUGGUGUGGCAUGAGUAUGGUGUAUCUUCCAGUAUUUGCAGAAGAAAGGGGGGAAAGAUGGUGAGGUGCGCGUGGGCACCCCGUUUUCUAGGUUCCCUGUUACGCACUUUCAUGCGUCAUGGUAUACAUGUAUGUAUACCAUGGUCUCCAAAGUUCAGCAUGUUUUUCGCUUCUCCCUAGCAUGUCUGCAUAUCUCGCCUCCACUGUGUGGAUCUCUUCUACUCUCUGGAGCCAUUACGCUUUGGUGGGGGGUUGGGUCUGUUUCCAUCUAGCCGGAAUCAGUGCUUUGGCUGCGUUGAGCAGGUCUCGCAGUAUUGAUCGUUUGUACUGAGCUACCGAUCCUCCAGAGAAGUGCAGGAGUACAGUUUCCAUGGUGAAGUUGGGUAAUUCUCCUAGGAUUGUUGCCAUUUCCAGUUUCAUCUCUUCCCAGUAUGGUCUGAUCUUGGCACAGUCCCACCAAAUGUGGCAUAGCGUGUCUGUGUGGGAUUUGCAUCUUCAGCAUGUGUCUGGGACCUCUGGGAAUAUUCUGUGCAGUAGCGAUGACGUUUUGUACCAGUGGGAGAUUAGCUUAAAGUUGACUUCUUGGUAUCUGGUGCUUGUUGAAUUUUUAUGUUGCAGUACGAGUAUCUGUUCCCAUUGGCUUCUGUGAAAGUCCUGUCCGUCAGUUCCUCCCAUUGCCUUUUAAAGGUGUUUUUCCUGGUGUGGUCUCCCGUGAUCAGUUGUUGGUAGAUGACCGAUACUCUACCUUCUGCCUCGGUGUCAGUCACGCAGAAGUGUUCAAACCAUGUUAUGGUAGAAGUGCCUCAGUUGUGCGUAAUGGAAUCGGUGCAUCAUCGUUAGGUGUUCUGUGGUGGACCAUUCUCGUAGACUCCUCAGACCAGCAUUAGUCAGGACCGUGCUCAGUGGGAUGUAGUCUACUGGCCAUGAGGACGACUGCAGCCCCCCGCCCAGUGCCUUGUUGUGUGUCAACGGGAUCAGGGGACUCGGCUGUGGGGAUAUGUGUGGGUUCCUUCUCAGGAUAGUCCAGGUUUUCAGCGUCUGUGUGAUGGGGGAAUCCCUACCCAGGGUAUAUGUGGCUUCUGCCGAUCUUUGCCAGACAUAUGUGCGAAGGGCUUUGUACGUGCAUUCUCUGUCUAAGCUCGCCCACAAUUUGUUUGGUGGGGCUGUGUGCCAUUCUCGGAUCCGCUGGAGCACCGUUGCUUGGAAGUAUUUGCGGAAGUCCAACAGUGCUAGUCCGCCCCACGCUUUGGGGAAGGCAUAUCCUGUUGUAGCUGAGUCGUGCCCUCUCUCCUCUCCAGACAUAUUUAGUCACCGCUGUUUUGAGUGUUGUGAAGAAUUCCGGGGGUAUGUGCCAGGGAAUGGGGCUGAAGCAGUAGAGAAGUCUGGGUAGGAUGUUCAUUUUGACCACCACUAUGCGCCCUUGCCACGAUAUGUGGUCAUAGGUCCACGUCUUCAGGUCAAUCUGUAUGGUGUGUAGGAUGGGUGUGUAGUUCUUGACAUAUAGUUCUCUCAGGUUGUGAGGUAUACAGAUUAUUAGGUAGCGCAUCUGUUCCGUGCACCAGUCAAUGGGGUAUCUGCUCUGGAUUCGUUCUUGCAUGGUCGUGGUGUCAAUAUUUCACACUUUGCCUGGUUUAGCUUAAGUCCUGAUAUCUGACCGUAUGUUUCAAAUUCUUCCAGAAGGGCUGGUAGUGAGCUUAGGGGACUGGCUAUGAAAAAGAGCAUGUCAUCUUAAUACGCAGCCACUUUAUGUUCCUGUUUUUUAUGUCGAAACCCCCGUAUCUCCAGCUUCAGUGGGAUCCUAUCCAGGAAUGGUUCCAAUGUGAGGGCAAAGAGGAGAGGGGACAAUGGGCAGCUCUGUCUAGUGCCAUUGUGAAUAGUGAAGCUGUCAGGGAUUGCUCCGUUUAUCCGGACUCUGGCACAUGGGUCAGUAUAGAGUGCGGUAGGUAAUCCCAGGCCCACCCUGUUCAGCGUUGCCAACAUGAAAUUCCACGCUACCCAGUCAAAAGUAUUUUCUACGUCCGUGGAAAGCAUGAGUAGGUCCGAUUUUUCUUUGAUUGCUAGUCCCCGUAUAGCAAAUGCCUGCAGGGUGCAGUCUCUAGCCUCCCGGCCUGGUAUAAAUCCAGGAGGACCAAUCGUGGUAUAAAUUGUUGUAGUCUAGUGGCUAAGAUUUUAGAGAGGAGCUUCACCUCAGUGUUUAAGAGGGAUAUAGGGCGGUAAUUGCCACAGAUUUCUGGGUUCUUGCCGGGUUUGGGUAUCACCGUGAUUGUGGCCGCUAGAGUUUCCCAGUGGAACCUGCCCCUUGCUGCAGGUGAUUUAAGGCGUCCGUUAGGCGCGGGGUCAAGAUUUCUCCAAACAAUUUAGUAUUCCGCCGGUAGACCGUCUGGUCCUGAUUGCCGCUUGGACUUCUUCCGUAGUUAUCGGAUUGUCAAAGAUGUUGGCUUCUUCCGGUGUGAGUGUAUCAGGCCGGAAGCUUUUAAGGGAGUGUGUUGUGGCCUCUACUAUCCUAUCUUCACUCAUGACUGGUGUUUAGAUGGUUAUGUUGUACUGGCGCUCAAAGUACGUUUGGAAUUCGCUCGCGAUCUCCUCUGGGAAUUGUGUGAGGGUACCUUUCGAUGUUUGUAAUGCGUAGACUUGUGCUCUGGCCUGUUGGCUUCGAAUCAUGUGGUCUAGUAGUUUCCCCCCCUUAUUAGCAUGGAUGUAGAAGAAGGCUUUUGAUCGCUGGGUUGCCCUGUAGUGUUUGUGGGCUAUUAGUUCCAUCAGUUGCCGUCUGGCUGCUAGUAGGGUGCGAUAGUGUGUGUUCGUUUGUGGAGCUUUUCCAGUGUUGCAAUUUGUUCAGUAAGUGCCAUCAUGUUUUGCUGUGCUUCCUUCUUUUUAUAAGAUGCGAUCCAUUUGAGGUGUCCACGAAGUACACUCUUAUGGGCUUCCCAGAGCGUCACGUUGGAUGUGUCUUCCGUGUCGUUUUCUUUGAAAUAGUUGUUCCAAGUGUUCCACCAGCUGUGUCUGCACUCCUACAUCUGAGAGAAGCGACUCGUUCAAUCUCCAUGUUGUCUGGGAGUAUGGAAACCGCGCUGUGGUCUGAUCAUGGUGUUGGACGUAUCUCCGCUUUACGGAGUCUUUGUAAGCCUUCUUGCUGGAUGAAAAGGUAAUCAAUGCGCGAGUAUCUGUGGUGUAGGCCGAGUAGUGCGUGUAGUCUUGAUUGUCUGUGUGCAGGGUCCUCCACGCAUCGACCAGUCUGAGGUCACGUAGGGACCUCCGUAUCGUCCUAAUUGCCGCUUGUGGGAUGCUGCUGUGUCCAGUCGAUGAGUCUGAGAUCGGGUCUAGGGGUACAUUGAGAUCUCCUCUGAGUAUAAGACUUCCUUCUGCAAAGGUGGCAAGUUUUUAAAUUGUGUUGCGGAGGAAUUUUGCCUAUUUGGCAUUUGGUGCAUAGAUUGAGGCGAAUGUGUAAGUCUUCUGCGUCACUGUGUCUUUCACGAAAAUGUAUCUGCCAUUCGGGUCUGCAAGCGUUUCGUUCAGGGUAAAUUGGAGGUUGGUAGCUAAGACAAUUGCCACCCCUGACUUGUGUGCAUUAGGAUGGAUGCUAUGGUGGUUGAUCGGGUAGUAUCUAUCUUUUAGUUGAUGUGUUUCUGUUGCUCUCAGGUGCGUUUCUUGUAGUAUUGCAAUAGAUAGAUGACCGCGUUAAAGUUCCCGCAGGAGAUGUGUGCGCUUUUCGGGGGUGUUCAUUCCUCUGCAGUUCUGCGUUAUGAUGCAGAAGGGUGCAGUUGUAUAUGCCGUGGUGGUGUGAGUGGUUGUGCGGGAUCAGUGUGUGUUCAGUGUUACACGUGUCGUUCCUCCGUGUGCCCGCGUACACCUCGGAGUCGGGCAAGGAGAGGGAGGUAGAGAAAGUAAGGAGGAGAGAGGUAAAAGGGGAAGGGCGGUGUGAAGGAAGAGGAGUGUGUGUGUGUGUGAUCAUCUAAGGAGGAAUUGUUAUCUGUGAGUUCAACCAAUAGGCGUCUAGUGUCAGCUGUGCUGUGUGACGUACCGGUUGGUCUCACCUAAGUGUUUAGGAUCUAUGGUCCGAAGGUAGUUUCUCAAACCUGGUGCAAGGCGGGUCCGCAAGUUAACCGAAAGUCUGGUCUCUCAGCGAGUGACCUCAAGUGGUAGGUCCCUCAAUGUGAGGGUGACCUAUGUAACUGGGUUGAGGUCCGCACCGUCCCCAAGUGUGAACGGGGGAAGCCGCGGGUCUGUCUCCCCCAGUAGUUUAGGUAUAUACAGGUCCGGUCUGGGGGGUAAGUCUGCGGCUGUCGUUUCAUUUGCCUGCUAGAGCGCAACUGUAUGGUUUUGUAUUUAUAUGGUCUAGUAUGUGUCCCACGUAAGUCGAAACUAGUCAUGGUAGCUAUGUUUCAUCUAGUUGCAAUCUGUGAGGUCACGACACAGGUGGUUGCGGGCUGUGCUCGGGGAGUUUUGCAUUGUAAGGUGUGUUGGGCCUAUCUCUCGUGUUGGAGAGUCAGCGGUCCUCUCAUGGUUCAAUUUGCCGUCUUCUGAUCUAUGUGCAUAUGGGGUGGGGGGGCAGUGCUGUUGUGUUUGGUAGUUUGUUGUGGCGGGUCGUUUGCGGGGGCGUGUGCGCUGUGCCCGGCGGGAUGUGUCCGGUAUCUCGGGCUGGGGACAACUGGGCUGCUGUUUCUUUGCUGUCUUUCUGGUGGCGCUGAUGCUCUGUGCUUCCUUUAAGUCUGGUGUUCACAGUAUGGGGUUGGCCACUAAUUUGUGUGAUUAGGUGGUGGGUGUUCUCCGUCUAGGUUCUGUAUGAUGGGAAGGUGCGGUACAUGUCCAAUACACAUUGCAUCAUUUUUUAACCUUUUCACCCCUAACCCUGUUCCAUAUCACCUGCCUUCCCUCAUCCCUCCCCGUCCCAUCCGUUAACACUCUAGGGAAUGUGUUACUCCCGGACUAUCUCUAUUACAGCUACUGUAGUCCCCCGGUGCUUGUGAACCCCUCAUGUGUCCUGCCCUUUUCUGUCCCUUCCACCUUGGUUGGGUUGGCCCACAUAACAAAACAUAGUAAAAAUAUUCUGAUGCUCUGCCUGUACUGAGUGCAUCGAAGGGUCGAGGCACUCAGUAAAUGUAAAAAAUGUAAAAAAAAUUAACCCUCUACCCUCCCUCCCCAUGUACUUACCAGUCCCCCUCUGCACUCUAGGACCCCUAGCGCCCAUGUGACCAUUCUAAAAGAGCGGUUACAUGGCCACAAUAGGUGUCCACAGUUCUACCUGCAAAUAAAAGUAAUAAAUAAUAUAAAUAUAUACGUCAUACCGAGUGCAUUUUUUUUAUUUAAUAUAAAAAUACAUUUAGAGUAAAAGUGUGUGUGUGUGUGUGUGUGUGUGUAUAUAUAUUAUAAUCUAUAUAUAUAUAUAUAUAUAUAUAUAUAUAUAUAUAUAUAUAUAUAUAUAUAUAUAAAACACGUCAUACUGAGUGUAUUUUUUUAUUUUUUAUUAAAGGGACACUAUAGUCAACUGAACAACUUUAGCUUAAUGAAGCAGUUUUGGUGUAUAGAACAUGCCCCUGCAGCCUCACUGCUCAAUCCUCUGCCAUUUAGGAGUUAAAUCCCUUUGUUUAUGAACCCUAGUCACACCUCCCUACAUGUGACUUGCACGGCCUCCCAUAAACACUUCCUGUAAAGAGAGCCCUAUUUAGGCUUUCUUUAUUGCAAGUUCUGUUUAAUUAAGAUUUUCUUAUCCCCUGCUCUGUUAAUAGCUUACAAGACCCUGCAAGAGCCUCCUGUAUGUGAUUAAAGUUCAAUUUAGAGAUUGAGAUACAAUUAUUUAAGGUAAAUUUAUAUCUGUUUGAAAGUGAAAUCAGUUUUUUGUUUUCAUGCAGGCUCUGUCAAUCAUAGCCAGGGGAGGUGUGGCUAGGGCUUCAUAAACAGAAAAAAAGUGAUUUAACUCCUAAAUGACAGUGAAUUGAGCAGUGAAAUUGCAGGGGAAUGAUCUAUACACUAAAACUGCUUUAUUUAGCUUAAGUAAUUUAGGUGACUAUAGUGUUCCUUUAAUAUAAAAAUACACUUAGAGUAAAAUUACAGUAAAAGUGUGUAUAUAUAUCUAUCUAUAUAUAAUUAUAUAUAUAUAUUAUAAAAAAUAAAUAUGAAAAUAAUUGUGUGUGUGUGUGUGUGUGUAUAUAUAUAUAUAUAUAUAUAUAUAUAUAUAUAUAUAAUUAUUUUUUUCUCACUUUAUUGUUACAGAUGUGUCACGUUUGAUCACAGGGAUCUAUAACCGCUCCUUUCCCUACCCCAUCUUUUUCAUAAUCCUCCGUUUUAAGUAUAGCCGAUAUCAGGCUAUAUCGCCCAGCACCUUUACACUGGUUUACACUUAGGUUGCUUAGCAAUUGCUGUAAACACCGCAAGACAUGUCAUGAUGACGUCACUCGCAGUCUUAUCACACUUCCGGGUUUCGAUAGGUGGGGGAGGUGCACUUCACAGAUUUUGGUAAUUGAUUAAUCUUUAUUACUUAUAAAAGUAUUGUUUUCACUGUAUGCAUCGUUCUGAUCUUGAAAAAGACCGUGUAUUGGUCGAAACGUCGAUCCACUGAACGUAAAGUUUUUUUUUUUGCACAAAUCAAGUAUUUUUCAAAUCCAGGAGUGCACCUUGCUAUUUUUCUAUAUUCAUAUAGCUGGUUUGCACCCUGGUGUGUGUAUCCUAUAUAAACUUUAUUUAGGUAGUGUGCCAAACUCAUUUUUUGAAUUGUAUAUACAGGGAUCGCGAUAUUCCUAGUUUGUGCACCUCCAACCUUACUUUAUAUUUUUGGUGCAUUUACUAAACAGUGAGUUCACUCACCCCCCUCAAGAUAAUUUUUUAUGGAGGAUUUUUUGGCUAGAGCUGGAGCGCUUGAAGAAACAGCAGUUACAUUGUCUAUUUCUGAAGAACAAGCAGAGGCAGUACUAUGGCCCCGUACCACACAGGAGUUAACCCACACUAAUACAGCUAAAGAUCUAUACAAUGAUCUCAUUAAACUCAAAAAAAGAGAAGUUGACCUGGACCUCCACGGCAUUUUUAUUUCCGAUUUUACUAUCGGGCUAAACGCAUACCUCGAGUAUUCCGAGUCAGGAAUGCCUCCACCAUAGGACGCCAAAAUCCAGAAUUUUGUAAAAGGUGGAUGAAUAUUGCAAAUAAAUGUUCGUUGGAUUGGAUGGUGAUUGUCGUGGAAGAGGUGGGGAAGGAAUUGGUUAAUGUGAAAAAAUCAAUUUGUGAGUUUGAUAUCACAAAUACCAUGCCACUACAAACAUCAUAUUAAUAAAUAUCAAAAUGGUUUAAUAAGAUUUAAAAAACAAAAACUUGAAAAAGUGAAUCACGAUUACCAACACCACCAGGUAUAUCGAUGGCUAAGUGGCACAGAAACCACAAGAUAUCCAACUCCUACAUUCCGGCCAAGGAUCCGAAAACCCUCAUUCCAGACAAAUACAUUAGUUCAGGAGAAUCAACUUCAGACGCAGACUCUAAAUCAGAGGGCUCAUCAUAUAAAUCGAUUACUUUUUAGACAAGGACAAACAUACCAACGAGGCCCCUACGGGAUCAGGCUCUUCAGCCAUAAACACCAGAGAAACAGAACGAUACGAAGAGGACAGAAGAACAACCACCAGAAAUACAAAAUUCAGAGACAAGCCACCCAUGCAAAAGAGGCGACAGUAGUGUUUAACCUGUCCACCAAAAUCCUGACACCAUACCAUCAUUCAGUUUUAAAUUAGGGUUUAACCUUCGUUCCAAUGAAAAAGCCGGUUCCGUUUGAGAUGGAAAUCGAAUUAUACAAACUACAGAGAACCUUAUACUGCAAUGAGGUCAUGAAAGGCGGUGUAGAGAAACCCCAAAUACCUAUAACAUCUAGGGACAAGAAAGAUGUCUUUACCAACAACCCAUCUAUCAAGUCAUUUGUACAAGCCGUACAUCAUGAUGUCCUAAAAAUCACCAUUACUCCUUCCCACCCUAAACAAAAUCUUACCAAAGAGGAGUGCCUUGAAAGAUCUGAUACAAGAUCCAACCAUUGCUAUUCGCCCAGCUGACAAGGGGGGAGCGAUUGUAAUUCAAUCAUAUUCUAAAUAUCGUGCAGAAAUUCUUCAACAACUAAAUGACUGUAACGUAUACCGUAAAAUUACGUUUGAUCCAGUUAAAAAAUUUCAGAAGACAAUUAUGCAUCAGAUUGAACUGGGAACGUCAGCGGGCUACCUGGAUGAGUGACUGGCUAAAAACCUCUUUGUUAAAUAUCCAAAACAUCCUGUUCUUUACACUCUCCCGAAACUACACAAGGAUUCACUUAACCCCCCAGGUAGACCAAUCGUGUCGGCGAGAGAGGGGUUGAUUGAACCCAUCGCUAAAUACGUGGAUUUUUAUAUCAACAAAAGUGUACAGAAAUUACAUACCUGUCUCAAAGAUGCACAAGACUUCCUUAAACAGAUAAAAGCUAUCAACCUGGACGACACAGAGACUCUGUUUGUCACUCUUGAUGUACAAAGCCUGUACACAAUUAUACCACAUAACGAAGGGAUAGAAUCUGUCUCGGAAGUGCUCAGUAACUCUACCUUAACUCUACCCUAUCAAGGUCCACCUGUUGGAGUUUUUGAAUAUUGCACUUACAUGCAAUUAUUUUAAAUUUGAAGAAUCAUUUUAACUUCAAAUAUCGGGCACUGCGAUGGGGGCGGUGAUGGCUCCUUCAUAUGCCAACGCAUAUAUAUUCUGUUUUGAACAGGAACAUAUAUUGUUCAAAUACCAACACAAGAUUCUCAAAUAUACACGAUUUGUGGACGACAAAUCCACGAUUUGUGGACGACAAAUCCACGAUUUGUGGACGACAAAUCCACGAUUUGUGGACGACAAAUCCACGAUUUGUGGACUCUGCAUUGGAGGAGAUUCAUUUAUUACCCACACCGGUCACUCUGACAUCAUCCUGGCAUAAGGAGUCAAUAGAGUAUCUAGAUGUCACGAUAUUCAGGGAUGGGAACAGAAAACAAACCGACUGAAAUACAUUGCUGCAAGCCACGAGCUUCCACCCACAAAAACUCAAGGACUCCCUACCUAUAUCUCAAUUCAUGCGAGAUAUAACAGUGACAUCAACACUAGAGAAAAACAACUAUCACAAAUGUGGAACCGGUUUUUGGAAAGAGGGUAUCACCUGUGGAUUUUGAGUCAAGCGAAGGAGAAAGCAUUGAGUCGUUUUAAGGACGAAUCAGACCCUAAGAAAUUGGACCAGAAGCUAACCAACUGUAUGUUUUUGCCCAUUACAUAUCACACAGAAGCACAUAAAAUUCAAAACACCAUCAACAGACACUGGGGUAUUUUACAAUCUGAUAAGAACCUGCCUACCAAAUUUCAUAAUAAACCCAUCAUCAGCUACAGAAGAAAUACAAAUUUACGUGAUCUGCUGGUGAAAGGAGACCCCAUACAGUGCUAUCAAAAAAAAUUACCAAAAUUAAAAGUGGAUGCUUUAAAUGUACAGGCUGUGUUACAUGCUGUCAUAUGAUUGCUGGAAAUACCUUCCCACAGUGGCAAAAGACUCCCAAUCAAACAAUAUAUAACCUGUACCACCGACCACGUUAUAUAUCUAAUUACCUGCCCGUGUGGGCUUGCAUACGUCGGCAAAACUGACCUCACUCUCAGGGACCGCAUUAGAGGCCAUCGUUCCACCAUCAAUACUGCUUACCGGGAUGAAAAAUCUGACAAACCCGUGGCCAAACAUUUCCUUCAACUUGGACAUUGUCUACUGUCUCUGCGGUUUACCUCCAUUGAACAUAUUCCUUCCUUUCCUAGAGGUGGAGAUAGAUUGCGAGUCUUGUUGCAUGCGAGGCUUAUUGGAUACACUAUCUGAACACUGUGUCUCCGUUUGCUUUAAAUGAGAACAUUGUAUUAUCCAUGUUUCUUUAAUAUUUUUUUCUUUUUUUGUUUAGUAUUUUUUAGUAUUUUUUUUUUUUGAAUACCCCUUUUUUCUUCUUUCUUCUUUUGUAAUUUUUCAUUUAGCAAGGUCUCUAUGAGUAAUUAUGAAUUACUAUCUGGUUGAGUAUUUCAGAGUAAGUUUAUUUUACUUUUUUUUUUUAUAUAAUGAAUAUGAGUAUUUUUUUUACUUAAUUCUAGCAUUAACCAGAUAUGCUAUUGUAUUGGUUUACUAAGUAUUGAUUUAGGUUUCACAUAUUUUGAUAAGUUUCCUCCUUUAAGUCCAUAAACCUCUGAGUGCCAUCAAAGGUUUUCACAGGUUAUAUUAUCUAUGGAUAGCCACGAUGUCCUCCUACUUGUACUAUUUCUUCUUUUAUUCAUAGACUAGAGUACAUUAUUUUGUUCAAGGACUGAAUUUCAAUUGAAUUGUAACAUUAUGUAUAUGUAUAUGUAUAUAGCUCCAAGCACCUCUGGCUCACUGAGCUGUACUUUUCUUUUGUUUUUCAAUUCUUAUAUUUUGGUGAUUUCAUACACCAUGUAUAAUAAUGAAUAUACCUUUAUUUACUGCUCUUACCGAUGGGAUUUCUCUAGGAGCUACUUAUACUCCCUUGCACGUUUUUAUUUUCACACACAUUUUUUUUUCUCACUUUAUUGUUACAGAUUUGUCACGUUUGAUCACAGGGAUCUUUAACAGCUCCUUUCCCUGCCCAUCUUUUUCAUAAUCCUAUGUUUUAAGUAUAGCUGAUAUCAGGCUAUCACCCUGCACCUUUACACUGGUUUCCACUUAGGUUGCCUAGCAACCGCUGUAAACACCGCGAGGCGUGGCGUGAUGUCACACGCGGUCUUCUCACACUUCCGGGUUUCGAUCGGUGGGGGAGGUGUCACUUCACAGAUUUUGGUA